rnacentral:rRNA from 1 species
UACGUAGGGACCGAGCGUUGUCCGGAAUUAUUGGGCGUAAAGAGCUCGUAGGCGGUUUGUCGCGUCUGCUGUGAAAACUGGGGGCUCAACCCCCAGCCUGCAGUGGGUACGGGCAGACUAGAGUGCGGUAGGGGAGAUUGGAAUUCCUGGUGUAGCGGUGGAAUGCGCAGAUAUCAGGAGGAACACCGAUGGCGAAGGCAGAUCUCUGGGCCGUAACUGACGCUGAGGAGCGAAAGCAUGGGGAGCGAACAGG